AUAGGGGCUACAUAGCACAAGAUUUUCCUUUACAUUACAAAUCGGAGCAAAGGCAGAUUUCUAGAAUGAGGUUCUGGGUUAGAGCUAACUUUACAACAAAUGCUGUUCAAUUCCAGCAGAAUACACGGGAAGCCACUUAACUGAAAGUCAUGAGAGGAACAGGAGCAGUUCAGAGCAGAGAAAGUAUUGAAAAUCCACCUGAAUAUCGAAGCCCAUUUGCAGCAGCCCAGACUGUACCUGUUCUGUGAAUAAACAGAGGACUUCAAUAUGCACUGCUGUCAAUCUGGCACCUUUCAUGAGCACUAAAUCCACUUCAGAAGAAAAGAACUAAUGAAAACAGAAGGCAAAGCCUUUAAUACUUAAAGGAGACAAUAAGUUCAUGCCAAGAAAGCAGCUUUUCAUCUUUCUCAGUUCUGUCUGCUGCUAGUUCAAGGAAAAAAAUUCUCCUCAAGGUCACAGACACUGAAAACCGAAUAUCAGCAACACUGAAAAUCUUGACACCUUCAACAGUUUAUAAUUUUUUCUUUCUUUUUCCUAAUUUAUCUUUAAAGAUUGAGUGUCCGAUGUUGACAUAAAUCUAGGAGAACUGACCCGUAAAGUAAUUAGAGGAGGAAUUUGCCCUUUCCUCCACCCUCUCAUCUCAAAGCCAGAUCAGAUGAAAGGCAAGCUCUGUUUACUUCCUGAUCUGUCUAAUUUCUGUAACAAGGACCAUCACCAACUUCAUCUUCAUGCAGCUGCUAGAAGUGAAACCCAAGAGGCUGCCCCAGGCACUGCAGCACCUUCUCAAAAUGGUUCGACCUUAAUGGAUUAGUUUCCCCCUGCGCAGGUGGCAAUUUAACAAGAGAAGACCAAACUUUUUACACUUAUGAGACCCCUGGUGAAUGGCAUCAAAUAUCAGAAGAGUGAAGCAGAGCAAAAAGGGUCGGAUCUCCACUGCAAGGAUCAAUCCACUGGCGCUCAAUUGAGAGUCUAAUAAAGACCCAAUAAAUCACCCUCCUAAUCAACUCUGUGGUGUGGACCCCAUGACAAACAACAAUUUACCAUCAAAAUGAAGUUGCCUGUUUGUGAGUCAUGCUGGAAUGGAAGCAAAUGAGUGCAUGCAUAGAGGUGGAACUCAGCAAGAUUCGUUUUACUACAAAUUAAAGCUGAAAUGUUCGAAGGCAAAGUCAUCUGACUGAAUGAUGCUCAGUUAGAGCAAACUUCUGAGUUAUUGUUUAGUAGAAAGGGUGAGUAAUAAAGGAUAUCUGCCAAUAAUAAUACCUUCAGGGCUUGAGAAAAACGGGACUGGCUUUUACAAUCAGAUGCUUUCUCUUGCUUUCUUUUUAAUUCUUCUGAUGGGGAUCAGAUAUUCCUAAUACACAGCUGGUCUCCACAAAUGGCCAAAUGUAAUUUUUUCAUACACCAGCAUGCAAUUCCAGGUGAAAUUAAUUAGUCGGGGUUCUUCAUCAGGUAACAUACUAAUAAAACGGGAUGCAAGUAAUUAAAUAUGCAAAUACAGGGAAGCAAGCACUAAAAUUCAGAUAUGUCAUUUCAGUCCCACAAAAAGGCAUCUGUCAAUUUAGAACUUGAAUGCUCUCUCUCUCUCUUGUACACACACAUACACACACACAAAUCUUUAGAAAAAUAAAAAUGUAAACAAGUCCCAGUUCAGAUUGUAAGAUUAAAGCUGCAAUAAAGGGAGAGAACACAUGCCAAGAACACCCCAUGGGAGAAGAGACAAAGUGCACUAAAAUGCCUGAGUUGUUUAAGAACCAAGUGCUUGGAGGUCUCUCUGUGCUGAAUGAGGAAGUGGGAUAUUUUAGUGGACUCACAGGGAAAAUGUCCAGAACUAUAAGCAGUCUCUGUAGUCUAUUUUGCUCAGUAUUUCUAGAUACCAGAAGGACAAAUUUAACCCUCAUGUAAGUGUUGCACCUGGCUAAAAGGGGGGUGAUUUGUCCUAUAUUCCUUUAUCGGGCUCUGUUCUGUUAUGGUAUGGUAUGAAUAAAAUACUGAUAGGGCUAAAUUCUGCCCUUAAUUAAAGGUAUGGAGGAACCUCAGGUUGCAAAAAUACAACUGAGUGCGUAAUGCGGCAAAAUUGCUAUAACUAAGGUCUAGCUUCCUAUCUUCCCUCCACUGAUUUAAUCAUAGACGAUAUAUCAUUUAUGCAGAUUGUUGAAAUAAACUGUCUCAUAUUUGAGAUAGACCAAUUAUUUUAAAGGCUUAUAAUACUCCACAUACAAUAUGUGCUCCAAAGUCCAUUGUAAAUCGCAGAUGACAAAUCUCCUAAUGUUAAUAUCAUUAACACCAGGUCUAAAUUAAACCUGGAAGGUCAGCUUAAUGUAUGAAACUCCAGCCUACGUAGAAUACUAGACAUGAUAAAUAGAAUGUCAGAACAUUGAUCUCCAGCAAGGUAAGUGAAGUUGUGACCUUAGCCUCAACGCAAAAUAUUGUUUCCUUCAACUCUGAUUUUCUUUAUAAUGGCAUGAAGAUGACACACCAAAUGGUGCCAUAACUUACAUUCCCUGCCAAAUCAUUGUAAUCAUUCUGUCCCAGAUCCUCAAAGGUAUAGAGGGACUUUCCCUGGGGCUUCGUCCAUCAUUGCCUUUAGUGUAACUGAGAUCCAUAUUCACCUCCCAUGGCCUACAAAACCCAUACUGGUGCAAAUAAUGGCACCUCAGAGUGACAGUUUUGGCAGAGGCAGAAGCACAGUACAACUAGCCAACCGCAAAACCCAUUCUGUCAUGGGGAGAGGUGGUAAUAUGUAGUGCAGGUCAGCUUCAAAGGAGGCAGAAUAAGGCUGGCCAGGAGAUGUGCAGAUUCAGUGUAUCUACGGGGGACCUUCCACUGUACAAUCAACAAGCCCUCUCCUGGCCAAACUACACAGAGCAGAGCAGACAGACAGCAUGCGUAUGAAUUUGUGAAUCUGAAUACCAAACCUCAGCUCUAAUUUUAGCUCUCACAGCUCUGACAACAUUCCUUUUUAAUUGCCUGUAUUGUUAUUCGUGUCAGAAUUUCUUAAAUGCAGGAGGGGAAGUGGGAGAAAAAGAGAACAACACCUCAACCCCCUCCGCUCUGUUCAGACAUAGUGGAGAUAAUCAAGGGGCACCUUGAUGAAUAAAACCACUUGAUCACAGUUUUAAUGUGCAGACUGUGUGGAUUUUGACCUCCUUGCCACACCUACAUAGAAAUAUCUGGCUUUCUAGAAUAGUGGGAGAUGUUGCUUUGAAAGAAGGCUAUAUGGAACUUAUGGGCCAGCUCUGAUAAAUGCUCAUUCUUCCCAAAUGUUAAAUAUAUUUGACACGCAUUAUAUGCUCUGCUGAUGCUGAGAAAUCACAAUGUUCUCUGAUAAUAUCAGCCUUCCAGAAUGACAGAAACAAGCCCCUUCCCCAUCCCCCGCAUUAUAAUAAUUUGUUCUCCAUAUUC